rnacentral:SRP_RNA from 1 species
GCCGGGCGUGGUGGCGGGCGCCUGUAAUCCCAGCUACUCAGGAGGCUGAGGUGGGAGGGUCACUUGAACCCGGGAGGUGGAGGUUGCAGUGAGCUGAGAUUUCGCCACUGCGCUCCAGCCUGGGUGACAGAGGGAGACUCCAUCUCAA